rnacentral:misc_RNA from 1 species
GAUACUUGAAAUGAUUUUUUCAGAUCUCACAUCGGUUAUGGAGUGUGUGUGUGAACGUAGAUUAUAUGGAACAAUGACUCUAUUGAAAUUGUAUGGUUUCGGUAGUUCAUCCUCGUGUGUGUUUUAUUUUCAGACUUAAAUUAAUUUUAAAAUUUUUUUAUUUGUCAAGCAAAUUACACUAUGUGUGUGUGUUCCAUUUUUUUAUUCAAAAUGGAACAAAAGCUACAUGUGAAACAUUAAAGAACUCAUUUGAAAAAUCCUUCGCUACCUAAAGAAAAUACAAUUAAAAAAAUAAUAAUAAUAGUACUUGAAGGAUGCUUAGCUGUUUGUGAGAGCAAUAAUAAUAUAUCUGGUGAAGAUAAUUGUGAAUUGACUGUGAUGAUGCAGGGUUAUGUAGAGCUGCAAAUG